UACGUAGGGUCCGAGCGUUGUCCGGAAUUACUGGGCGUAAAGAGCUCGUAGGUGGUUUGUCACGUUGUUCGUGAAAACCCACAGCUCAACUGUGGGCGUGCGAGCGAUACGGGCAGACUAGAGUACUGCAGGGGAGACUGGAAUUCCUGGUGUAGCGGUGGAAUGCGCAGAUAUCUGGAGGAACACCAGUAGCGAAGGCGGCUCGCUGGGCCACACCUGACGCUGAGACGCGAAAGCUAGGGGAGCGAACAGG
rnacentral:rRNA from 1 species